rnacentral:misc_RNA from 1 species
GAAUUGCGAUAAGUAAUGUGAAUUGCAGAAUUCAGUGAAUCAUCGAAUCUUUGAACGCAUAUUGCGCUCUUUGGUAUUCCGAAGAGCAUGCCUGUUUGAGUAUCAGUAACAACCUCAAAACCCUUUGUUGUGGUUUUGGAUCUGAGUCUAUCCCGAGUAAAUGUGGGCGACCUUGAGUUGCUCAGCGGGUGACUUUAAAUCUAUGGUCAGCAGAUUCGAUCUGGCAAAGGCGUAAUAGUUGAUCCUCAAGGAUUAUUCAUUCGCUGAAGCUAAUUGUAAAAGAUCCAGAAUCUGUUUGACAAUAAAGCAGGAAAUUUUCUUUUUGUUUAUCGAAAAGAAAAACCAACAAACUUGAUCUCAAAUCAGGCAGGAUUACCCGCUGAACUUAA